rnacentral:rRNA from 1 species
CAUGCAAGUCGAGGGGCAGCACGGGUAGCAAUAUCUGGUGGCGACCGGCGCACGGGUGCGUAACACGUAUACAAUCUACCCUUAACAGGGGGAUAGCCCUCCGAAAGGAGGAUUAAUACCCCAUAAUAAAUUGAAUGGCAUCAUUUGAUUUUGAAAGUUCCGACGGUUAAGGAUGAGUAUGCGUCUGAUUAGCUAGUUGGUGAGGUAAAGGCUCACCAAGGCAACGAUCAGUAGGGGAUCUGAGAGGACUACCCCCCACACUGGUACUGAGACACGGACCAGACUCCUACGGGAGGCAGCAGUAAGGAAUAUUGGUCAAUGGAGGCAACUCUGAACCAGCCAUGCCGCGUGCAGGAAGACGGCCCUAUGGGUUGUAAACUGCUUUUGUACGGGAGAAAACCCUUUCACGUGUGAGAGGUUGAUAGUACCGUAAGAAUAAGCAUCGGCUAACUUCGUGCCAGCAGCCGCGGUAAGACGAAGGAUGCAAGCGUUAUCCGGAUUCAUUGGGUUUAAAGGGAGCGUAGGUGGACUUGUAAGUCAGUGGUGAAAUCUCUCAGCUUAACUGAGAAACUGCCAUUGAUACUGCAGGUCUUGAGUACAGAUGAUGUGGGCGGAAUAUGACAUGUAGUGGUGAAAUACUUAGAUAUGUCAUAGAACACCGAUUGCGAAGGCAGCUCACAA